AUACGGAGGGUGCAAGCGUUACUCGGAAUCACUGGGCGUAAAGCGCGCGCAGGCGGCUUGAUAAGUUGGAUGUGAAAGCCUACGGCUCAACCGUAGAACUGCAUCCAAAACUGUCAGGCUAGAGUGUGGGAGAGGAAGAUGGAAUUAGUUGUGUAGGGGUAAAAUCCGUAGAGGUAACUAGGAAUACCAAAAGCGAAGGCAAUCUUCUGGAACACUACUGACGCUGAGGCGCGAAGGCGUGGGGAGCAAACAGGAUUAGAUACCCUAGUAGUCC
rnacentral:rRNA from 1 species